rnacentral:rRNA from 1 species
UGCGGAGGGGGCUAGCGUUGUUCGGAAUUACUGGGCGUAAAGCGCACGUAGGCGGCUUUGUAAGUUAGAGGUGAAAGCCCGGGGCUCAACUCCGGAAUUGCCUUUAAGACUGCAUCGCUAGAAUUGUGGAGAGGUAAGUGGAAUUCCGAGUGUAGAGGUGAAAUUCGUAGAUAUUCGGAAGAACACCAGUGGCGAAGGCGACUUACUGGACACAUAUUGACGCUGAGGUGCGAAAGCGUGGGGAGCAAACAGG